rnacentral:rRNA from 1 species
CUACGUGCCAGCAGCCGCGGUAAUACGUAGGGGGCAAGCGUUAUCCGGAUUUACUGGGUGUAAAGGGAGCGUAGACGGCGAUGCAAGUCUGGAGUGAAAACCCGGGGCUCAACCCCGGGACUGCUUUGGAAACUGUAUAGCUGGAGUGCCGGAGAGGUAAGCGGAAUUCCUAGUGUAGCGGUGAAAUGCGUAGAUAUUAGGAGGAACACCAGUGGCGAAGGCGGCUUACUGGACGGUAACUGACGUUGAGGCUCGAAAGCGUGGGGAGCA